GACCACUCUUUUGGGAGUUAAGGCCAUACGGACAGCCGGGUCCACUGCCGA
rnacentral:sRNA from 1 species